rnacentral:tRNA from 1 species
GCCUAGGUAGCUCAGUUGGUAGAGCAGAGGACUGAAAAUCCUCGUGUCGGUGGUUCAAUUCCGCCCCUAGGCA